AUGUUUACUUUGUGUUUUCAGUGGAUGGAAUCAAUGCAAACGUGUUGAACUCUGCUGAUAGUAAUGUGGAGAUGAGAAUCAAUGAUGUUUAUGAUUUAUAAGAGGAUGUUGGAGGCGUCGCUUGACCAGACCUGGGAGCAGAGGCUGAGGCCUGUGGGGGCAAACCAGUCCAUGACUGAGGGAGAUCUGCACCAGGCGGAGGACCAGGCCGAAGGGAGCACACGCCGGUGUAGCGGUUCUUGGGCUGCCGCCCACUAAAUCUAGACAAUCAUUUUAAUAAUAAAUGCCUAUGAAGGGCUUAAAAUGGUU